AGCUCUUAAACCCCGCCCCCUCCCUCGGCCGUCGCUUCCACUCGGCCCCUCCACCAGGCCGGAGCCUCCUACCGCCGUCGACGCAGCGCCGCUCCCGCCUCUCCAUCGUCGGCGCAGCGGAGCGGAUAGCCCGUGAUGGAAGAGGGCAGUGACUACUAUGUUGUCAGGAAAGGGGAUGUGAUGGCUGUUUACAAAAAUCUAAGUGAUUGCCAAGCUCAGAUCUGCUCUUCGGUAUUUGGUCCUGCUGCAAGUGCCUACAAGGGUCACUCUUGGAGCAGAGAAAAGGAGGAAUACCUCUCUUCACAGGGGUUAAGUAACGCUAGUUAUGUAAUUAAUGCAACCGAACUUCGGGAAGAUAUAUUUGGCCCCCUUGUGCCCUGUAGUUUCCAGGAGAUAGUUGGUUCUAGUUCGAAUCUUGCGGCUCCAAAUCAUAUUGGCAUCCAUAAUGUUAGAUCAUAUCAUACUGGGUCUGAAUCUGUUGAUCUGAACCAUGAAGCCAGAUCUAGUUCCUCCAGUCACAUCUCACCAGCAAACCUCAACCAUAGUGGAGCUGUUGAAGCACAACCUGUAUCAAGACAAUACAUGGUGGCUAUUCUUCAUUUUGAUGGUGCUUCAAAAGGAAACCCUGGAAAAGCAGGUGCUGGAGCAGUUCUUAUGACUGAAGAUGGAAGAGUGAUAUCUCGACUUCGCGAGGGUCUUGGUGUCGUUACUAAUAAUGUUGCUGAGUACCGAGGCCUGAUCUUAGGACUGAAAUAUGCAAUUAGGCAUGGAUUCAGGAGAAUCAAAGUACAUGGGGAUUCUCAACUUGUCUGCAAUCAGGUGAACGGUGUUUGGCAAACAAAGCACCAGAACAUGAUGGAGCUCUGCAAUGAAGUGAGAAGGCUGAAAGAGAACUUCCUCUCUUUUGAGAUCAACCAUGUUCGACGGGAAUGGAACGCUGAGGCGGACCGCCAGGCGAACAUAGGCAUCACGCUUGCCAGUGGCGCUGUGUCGGAGGAGCGUGGUGACUUCUGAUACAAGCCUCAUCCAACCGUAUGUAGUUAGCUAACGACAAGCUUGGACUUUUGCCUUCGUCAAGCUGCUAGCCUGCUCUACAGUAGGUGCGUGGCGAGGCUUUUUAAGUAGUCCUAUCCAGUUACAUCACCAGUAGUCUGGGCAUAUGCCAUCGUCAAGCUAGGAUCGAAUUCUGAUUUCUGUGUCCUGCGGAAGAUCAUGUGCGUCUAUGGUCUACGCCUUGAUGUCGAGUCCUGGGCUAGUGGGCCCCAUUUUGAUGAACCCGGUAACUCGACCCAUGGUGUAAGCUUCCCUUCAUGGACCCUCUCUGCUGGGCCGCAUUCCGUCGGAUCAUGUAAGAAGCUUCGACUUAAUGGGCUCUGAAUCUGAUGCAACCCGUGAGUGUGUGCUCUGGAA